rnacentral:rRNA from 1 species
UCGAGAAUUUUUCUCAAUGGGGGAAACCCUGAAGGAGCGACGCCGCGUGGAGGAUGAAGGCUUUCGGGUUGUAAACUCCUGUCAUUUGAGAACAAGGAUUAGCAAGUAACUACUGCUAGUUUGAUAGUAUCAGAAGAGGAAGAGACGGCUAACUCUGUGCCAGCAGCCGCGGUAAUACAGAGGUCUCAAGCGUUGUUCGGAUUCAUUGGGCGUAAAGGGUGCGUAGGUGGCGCCGUAAGUCAGGUGUGAAAUCUCGGGGCUUAACUCCGAAACUGCAUUUGAUACUGCGGUGCUUGAGGACUGGAGAGGAGACUGGAAUUCAUGGUGUAGCAGUGAAAUGCGUAGAGAUCAUGAGGAAGACCAGUGGCGAAGGCGGGUCUCUGGACAGUUCCUGACACUGAGGCACGAAGGCCAGGGGAGCAAACGGGAUUAGAUACCCCCGUAGUCC